rnacentral:rRNA from 1 species
GACGAACGCUGGCGGCGUGCUUAACACAUGCAAGUCGAACGGAAAGGCCUGCUUUCCCCUGUGGAUUGCGGGUACUCGAGUGGCGAACGGGUGAGUAACACGUGAGUGAUCUGCCCCCAACUUGGGUAUAAGCCUGGGAAACUGGGUCUAAUUCCCGAUAGGACUGCAGGGUGGUGCCUGUGGUGGAACACGAUUUUCUAGUGGUUGGGGAUGAGCUCGCGGCCUAUCAGCUUGUUGGUGGGGUAAUGGCCUACCAAGGCGGCGACGGGUAGCCGGCCUGGGAGGGUGGACGGCCACAUUGGGACUGAGAUACGGCCCAGACUCCUACGGGAGGCAGCAGUGGGGAAUAGUGCACAAUGGGCGGAAGCCUGAUGCAGCGACGCCGCGUGGGGGAUGACGGCCUUCGGGUUGUAAACUCCUUUCGACCGCGAGGAAGCCACCUGGUUGGAAGGGUGGUGACGGUAGUGGUAGAAGAAGCACCGGCUAACUACGUG